GAACAACUUUCGUAUUGCAUGUCAUAGGCUCCGCCCAAAAGGAAGUCAGCUAUUUAGAGCUAUGUAAAAAGCGCAUGCUCUGGAAUUUGAUAUACUUGUCAUAGGUUUUUUACCCGAUUGCCACCAAACUUGGUCAACAUGAUCUCAAGACAUUGGGGAUGCAAAAUUGCCAGGGGAUUUUUGAUAUCUCGAAUGGUAUGCUCGUGGCGAGGCGUUGAAAUUAUGGCGAGAAAUGAGAAACAGGAAGUGUCUAAUAACAUCCACAUACAUUUCCUGAUUUUAAUUAAACUUCAUCAAUUUGUUCGUUGUAUGAUGCCGAUCGCAUAUAUGUGACUAUUAGGAGUCAAAAUUAUAGCGCCACCAACUGGCAGCAGG
ensembl:lncRNA